GUGGGGGAUAUUGCACAAUGGGCGCAAGCCUGAUGCAGCGACGCCGCGUGGAGGAAGAAGGUUUUCGGAUUGUAAACUCCUGUCUUCAGGGACGAUAAUGACGGUACCUGAGGAGGAAGCCACGGCUAACUACGUGCCAGCAGCCGCGGUAAUACGUAGGUGGCAAGCGUUGUCCGGAAUUACUGGGUGUAAAGGGAGCGUAGGCGGGAUUGCAAGUUAAAUGUGAAAUCUAUCGGCUCAACCGGUAGCUGCGUUUAAAACUGUAGUUCUUGAGUGAAGUAGAGGCAGGCGGAAUUCCUAGUGUAGCGGUGAAAUGCGUAGAUAUUAGGAGGAACACCAGUGGCGAAGGCGGCCUGCUGGGCUUUUACUGACGCUGAGGCUCGAAAGUGUGGGUAGCAAACAGGAUUAGAAACCCGAGUAGUCC
rnacentral:rRNA from 1 species